rnacentral:sRNA from 1 species
GUAAGUAAAAGUGUAACAGGAAGAAAGUUGCAGCAUAUAUGCGGUGAAUUAUGCGGUGUCAUAGGAAUUGAGGAUUUAUGUAAGAUGCUGAUAAUGAGUAAGGAACCUUAAAGUUAAUCGUUCCCUGUCUCUCCGCAGAACCUACUGGACAAAACAGGACAGUAAGUGGACAAAAACCUACAAAUCAGCGAUUUGUAGGUUUUUU